GUUUCCGUAGUGUAGUGGUUAUCACGUCUGCUUUACACACAGAAGGUCCCCAGUUCGAGCCUGGGUGGAAACA
rfam:Nematostella vectensis strain CH2 x CH6 NEMVEscaffold_1587_Cont37441, whole genome shotgun sequence.